GCAAGUCGAGCGCUCUCUUCGGAGGGAGCGGCGGACGGGUGAGUAACGCGUGGGAACGUACCUUCUUCUGGGGAAUAGCCACUGGAAACGGUGAUUAAUGCCCCAUACGCCCUUCGGGGGAAAGAUUUAUCGGAGGGAGAUCGGCCCGCGUCUGAUUAGAUAGUUGGUGGGGUAAUGGCCUACCAAGUCUACGAUCUAUAGCUGGUUUGAGAGGAUGAUC
rnacentral:rRNA from 1 species